rnacentral:rRNA from 1 species
GAUGAACGCUGGCGGCGUGCCUAACACAUGCAAGUCGAGCGAGAUGUAUAUGGACGAAACUUCGGUCUAGGAAAUAUAUUGACAGCGGCGGACGGGUGAGUAACGCGUAGGCAACCUGCCCUUAACACAGGGAUAGCCUCGGGAAACCGGGAUUAAAACCUGAUAAUGCCAAAUAGUCACAUGGCUGUUUGGCCAAAGAUUUAUCGGUUAAGGAUGGGCCUGCGUCUGAUUAGUUUGUUGAUGGGGUAACGGCCUACCAAGACUACGAUCAGUAGCCGACCUGAGAGGGUGAUCGGCCACAUUGGAACUGAGACACGGUCCAAACUCCUACGGGAGGCAGCAGUGGGGAAUAUUGCACAAUGGGCGAAAGCCUGAUGCAGCAACGCCGCGUGAGCGAUGAAGGUUUUCGGAUCGUAAAACUCUGUUGUAAGGGAAGAACACGUACGAGAGGAAAUGAUCGUACCUUGACGGUACCUUACGAGAAAGCCACGGCUAACUAC